AUUGAACGCUGGCGGCAGGCCUAACACAUGCAAGUCGAACGAGUGGCGGACGGGAGAGUAAUAGCUGGGAACCUGCCUGAUGGAGGGGGAUAACUACUGGAAACGGUAGCAAAUACUGCUUACCAUCAGAUGUGCCCAGACGGGUUUGGCUUGUUGGUGGGGUAACGGCUCACCAAGGCGACUAUCCCUAGCUGGUCUGAGAGGAUGACCAGCCACACUGGGACUGAGACACGGCCCAGACUCCUACGGGAGGCAGCAGUAGGGAAUAGUGCGCAAUGGGCGGAAGUCUGAUGCAGCCAUGCCGCGUGUGUGAAGAAGGCCUUCGGGUUGUAAAGUACGUUCAUCGGGGAGGCGUUACCCGCCGAAAAAGCCCCGGCUAACUCCGUGCCAGCAGCCGCGGUAAUUC
rnacentral:rRNA from 1 species